rnacentral:rRNA from 1 species
AACGAACGCUGGCGGCAUGCCUAACUCAUGCAAGUCGAACGAGACCUUCGGGUCUAGUGGCGCACGGGUGCGUAACGCGUGGGAAUCUGCCCUUGGGUUCGGAAUAACAGUUGGAAACGACUGCUAAUACCGGAUGAUGACGUAAGUCCAAAGAUUUAUCGCCCAAGGAUGAGCCCGCGUAGGAUUAGCUAGUUGGUGAGGUAAAGGCUCACCAAGGCGACGAUCCUUAGCUGGUCUGAGAGGAUGAUCAGCCACACUGGGACUGAGACACGGCCCAGACUCCUACGGGAGGCAGCAGUGGGGAAUAUUGGACAAUGGGCGAAAGCCUGAUCCAGCAAUGCCGCGUGAGUGAUGAAGGCCUUAGGGUUGUAAAGCUCUUUUACCCGGGAUGAUAAUGACAGUACCGGGAGAAUAAGCUCCGGCUAACUCCGUG